GGAGGGUGCAAGCGUUGUUCGGAAUUAUUGGGCGUAAAGAGCGUGUAGGCGGUUUGGCAAGUCAGAUGUGAAAUCCCUUAGCUCAACUAAGGAAGUGCAUUUGAAACUGCUUCACUAGAGUACAGUAGGGGAAAGUGGAAUUCCCAGUGUAGAGGUGAAAUUCAUAGAUAUUGGGAGGAACACCGGUGGCGAAGGCGGCUUUCUGGCCUGAUACUGACGCUGAGACGCGAAAGCGUGGGGAGCAAACAGGAUUAGAUACCCUGGUAGUCCACGCCGUAAACGAUGGGCACUAGGUGUAGGGAGUGUUGACCCUCUCUGUGCCGAAGCUAACGCAUUAAGUGCCCCCGCCUGGGAGUACGGUCGCAAGGCUA
rnacentral:rRNA from 1 species